rnacentral:rRNA from 1 species
UACCAGCACCCCGAGUGGUCGGGACGUUUAUUGGGCCUAAAGCAUCCGUAGCCGGUUCUACAAGUCUUCCGUUAAAUCCAGCUGCUUAACAGAUGGGCUGCGGAAGAUACUAUGGAACUAGGAGGCGGGAGAGGCAAGCGGUACUCGAUGGGUAGGGGUAAAAUCCGUUGAUCCAUUGAAGACCACCAGUGGCGAAGGCGGCUUGCCAGAACGCGCUCGACGGUGAGGGAUGAAAGCUGGGGGAGCAAACCGG